rnacentral:rRNA from 1 species
UACGAAGGGGGCUAGCGUUGCUCGGAAUGACUGGGCGUAAAGAGCUCGUAGGCGGUUGGGUAAGUCGGGUGUGAAAACUCUGGGCUCAACUCAGAGACGCCACCCGAUACUGCUCUGACUUGAGUCCGGUAGGGGAGUGGGGAAUUCCUGGUGUAGCGGUGAAAUGCGCAGAUAUCAGGAGGAACACCGGUGGCGAAGGCGCCACUCUGGGCCGGAACUGACGCUGAGGAGCGAAAGCGUGGGUAGCAAACAGG